rnacentral:misc_RNA from 1 species
GAAAUGCGAUAAGUAAUGUGAAUUGCAGAAUUCAGUGAAUCAUCGAAUUUUUGAACGCACAUUGCGCCCGCCAGCACUCUGGCGGGCAUGCCUGUUCGAGCGUCAUUUCAACCCUCAGAACCCCUUGCGGGAUCUGGCGUUGGGGAUUGGCAUCCAGUCAGCCCCGAAAUCUAGUGGCGGUCCCUCCGCGACCUCCCCUGUGCAGUAGCGAUACCUCGCAGCGGGACAGCGGUCUGACCACGCCGUAAAACCCCCAACUUCUCAAGGUUGACCUCGAAUCAGGUAGGAAUACCCGCUGAACUUAAGC